UACGUAGGGUGCAAGCGUUAAUCGGAAUUACUGGGCGUAAAGCGUGCGCAGGCGGCUUUGCAAGACAGAUGUGAAAUCCCCGGGCUUAACCUGGGAACUGCAUCUGUGACUGCAUGGCUGGAGUGCGGCAGAGGGGGAUGGAAUUCCGCGUGUAGCAGUGAAAUGCGUAGAUAUGCGGAGGAACACUGAUGGCGAAGGCAAUCCCCUGGGCCUGCACUGACGCUCAUGCACGAAAGCGUGGGGAGCAAACAGG
rnacentral:rRNA from 1 species